CAACAAGCUUAGGAACUCAAAGGUAUUUGGGGUUGGUUGUUGGCGGAUUAAACCCAUCAAUCGGGUAAGUUGUAACUCAUAGAGAAGAGAGCUCAGGGAGAGGGGCCCCAUAGCUGCUCUUACUAUUCCCCAUAGCUGCUCUUACUAUUAACGUUCUGAAUUUCCAAGCUCAUGAGGGGAUCCAGACACUCGGGAAGUCAGCACCUUUCAGUGGCUCCCCUCAAACUCCAAAGAGACUCUCGGAAAGCCGCCUAACUGUGGGGGCCCUUCGGGGAGGCGCAGGGAAUCCACUCCAAAAAGACUAAC
rnacentral:lncRNA from 1 species